rnacentral:rRNA from 1 species
GACGAACGCUGGCGGCGUGCUUAACACAUGCAAGUCGAACGGAAAGGCCCUGCUCUUGUGGGGUGCUCGAGUGGCGAACGGGUGAGUAACACGUGAGUAACCUGCCCCUGACUUUGGGAUAACUUCAGGAAACUGGGGCGAAUACCGGAUAGGAUCUCCUGCUGCAUGGUGGGGGUUGGAAAGUUUCGGCGGUUGGGGAUGGACUCGCGGCUUAUGAGCUUGUUUGUGAGGUAGUUGCUGACCAAGGUUUCGACGGGUAGCCGGCCUGGGAGGCUGACCGGCCACAUGGGGACUGAGAUACGGCGCAGAAGCCUACGGGAGGCAGCAGUGGGGAAUAUUGCACAGUGGGCGGAAGCCUGAUGCAGCGACGCCGCGUGCGGAAUGCCGGCCUUCGGGUUGUAAACCGAUUUGGACUGAGACGAAGCGUGAGUGACGGUAAUGGGUAAAGAAGCACCGGCUAACUACGUG